rnacentral:rRNA from 1 species
CGAACGGGUGAGUAACGCGUAGGUAACCUGCCUGGUAGCGGGGGGUAACUAUUGGAAACGAUAGCUAAUACCGCAUAAGAGUAGAUGUUGCAUGACAUUUGCUUAAAAGGUGCAAUUGCAUCACUACCAGAUGGACCUGCGUUGUAUUAGCUAGUUGGUGGGGUAACGGCUCACCAAGGCGACGAUACAUAGCCGACCUGAGAGGGUGAUCGGCCACACUGGGACUGAGACACGGCCCAGACUCCUACGGGAGGCAGCAGUAGGGAAUCUUCGGCAAUGGACGGAAGUCUGACCGAGCAACGCCGCGUGAGUGAAGAAGGUUUUCGGAUCGUAAAGCUCUGUUGUAAGAGAAGAACGAGUGUGAGAGUGGAAAGUUCACACUGUGACGGUAUCUUACCAGAAAGGGACGGCUAACUACGUGCCAGCAGUCGCGGUAAUACGUAGGUCCCGAGCGUUGUCCGGAUUUAUUGGGCGUAAAGCGAGCGCAGGCGGUUAGAUAAGUCUGAAGUUAAAGGCUGUGGCUUAACCAUAGUACGCUUUGGAAACUGUUUAACUUGAGUGCAAGAGGGGAGAGUGGAAUUCCAUGUGUAGCGGUGAAAUGCGUAGAUAUAUGGAGGAACACCGGUGGCGAAAGCG